rnacentral:sRNA from 1 species
AUUUAUUCAAAUAAUUAUACAUAUAUUAACACAGUUAUACAUCUUCAUCUUCUACUUCAUCUUCGUCCGAGGACGAUAAAUUACAUCGGAAUUCGUCUUCUGGUUCAGCAUCCCCGACAUCGUAAUUAAGGAUUAUUGGGUUUAAGUUGGCUACCGGAGUUUCAAGAACAGGAUCUUCAAUU